rnacentral:tRNA from 1 species
GGUAAAAUGGCUGAGUUUGAGGCAAUAAAUUGUAAAUUUAUCAACGAAUUAUAUUCUUUUAUCA